rnacentral:rRNA from 1 species
UACAGAGGUCUCAAGCGUUGUCCGGAUUUAUUGGGCGUAAAGAGCUCGUAGGCGGUUCGGUAAGUCGGGUGUGAAAUCUCCACGCUCAACGUGGAGGGGCCACUCGAUACUGCCGUGACUCGAGUCCGGUAGAGGAGUGUGGAAUUCCCGGUGUAGCGGUGAAAUGCGCAGAUAUCGGGAGGAACACCAGUAGCGAAGGCGGCACUCUGGGCCGGUACUGACGCUGAGGAGCGAAAGCGUGGGGAGCAAACAGG